rnacentral:rRNA from 1 species
CUGGUUGAUCCUGCCAGUAGUCAUAUGCUUGUCUCAAAGAUUAAGCCAUGCAUGUCUAAGUAUAAGCAAUUAUACAGCGAAACUGCGAAUGGCUCAUUAUAUAAGUUAUCGUUUAUUUGAUAGUACCUUACUACUUGGAUAACCGUGGUAAUUCUAGAGCUAAUACAUGCUGAAAAUCCCGACUUCGGAAGGGAGGUAUUUAUUAGAUUAAAAACCAAUGCCCUCUGGGCUCCUUGGUGAUUCAUAAUAACUUUUCGAAUCGCACGGCCUUGCGCCGGCGAUGGUUCAUUCAAAUUUCUUCCCUAUCAACUUUCGAUGUUUGGGUAUUGGCCAAACAUGGUCGCAACGGGUAACGGAGGGUUAGGGCUCGACCCCGGAGAAGGAGCCUUAGAAACGGCUACCACAUCCAAGGAAGGCAGCAGGCGCGUAAAUUACCCAAUCCUGAUACAGGGAGGUAGUGACAAUAAGGGGGCGAUGCUCUGGCUCUUUGAGUCGGGCAAUUGGAAUGAGAACAAUUUAAAUCUCUUAACGAGGAACAAUUGGAGGGCAAGUCUGGUAAU